UCUUCUUCUUUCCCUUUCUUCAUUUUCUUCUUCGUUCUUCUGUUCAUCGUAUUCUUCCCGUGUGAGAGUUUAAGUGAUGAAAUUGAGAGUGGAUUAGAGAUAUUUUGAUUGAUGAAACUAUUCAUAUGGUGAAGGAGGUGUUGUCGAUGUUAUUUAGGAAGAAGGGUAUUAUGGAUUGCUAAGAGUUUAUGGUGAAUCAGAGAGAAGUGAAGUUAGGGUUCCGGAGUUGAGUUUUAGAGAUGAAAUUGAUGUUGAAUAUGAGAUGUUAACGGAUGAAGAAAAUAGGGGUUGCUUUUAGUUUGCGGAGGUGAAGCUUUCCUAAUGACGAAUCAAAAGAAAAAGAUAAUUAGGGUUCUGUAAUUUGAAGUUUGAUUAAUCUGUUUUAAUUUGAUUAAUUAAUGAAGUAGUUAGUGAUGGUGCUGGUUUUGACUCAAGUGGUUAUUUCCAUUUCAUGGGAAGAGUUAUUUCAGAGAGGGGGUUAGUUAGGAUUCAUGAGAAGAAUCUCUAAGAAGAUUAGAAGGUGAAUUUGUUACUCUAGUGGAUUAAUUAGAGAUGGGUAUAAUUUAUAUGAGGGGUUAUUUAUGAUUUGAACAUGAAUUGAAAGAUAGAGGAUUGUGAAUCAAUUUUAGGGUUUUCUGGAAAUCGUCUUGAAGUUAGUUUGAGUGGCGAUUUGAGAUUGGUAGAUCAGAUUCAAGAACAGUUGAUGAGUAAUGGAAUGGUUAACAAAUAAAGAACGAAUGGGUUGUUGUGUAUUGAAGGUGAUUCUGAAUAAUUAAGGAUGGGUUUAACUGAAAUAGAGUUUGAAGAAGAAGAUUCUAAGAAGAAGGAUUGUUGUAUCUGGAGUUAAGAUGAUUGCAUAAAUUGAACAUAAGACGAGUUACAGGGAGGAAGAGGUGUAUGAGUUGUUGAUUGGUGGUGGUGUUUUAUCAGUCACAGGACAUGGAAGAAGUAUGUGAUGAAGAUUGUUAAGUUUUGUUUGGUUAAUUAUGGUUUAUAUGGUUGUGGUUGGAGAAUAACAAUUCAGAAGAUGCUGGUACUUGGGUAAGUUCUGUAUUGUUGAAUUUCGCAUGUUUUCCAUAUAACUGAUAAUAUGUCUGAGUUAAUGUGUUUGGGAGUGGGGUUACUGAAUUUACAGAUAGUGCAGGCAAGAAAUGAAUGUAUUGUUGUUUGACUUAAGAAGUUGCAUUUAUAGGAUUGGUGGUGAUGCAUUUGAGCUGCUAAGUCAUUAUGGAUGGAAGUUGUCCAAGUUAAUAUGUUGUUGAGUUGUUCUGAGAUGCGGGUGUUGAUGUUGUGAGAGUUAUACAGAGUUGGAGUUGAGGAUUAGAUGAAUUGGUUGUUUGUACCAAAUAAAAGCUGGUGUUGUCUGUGAGAUGACGAAGUUGGCAGGGUUGUACAAUAGGUGCUUGUGUAAGAAAUUAGAUGGAAUUCUAAUGUGUAGAACUAGAGUUGUUGAACUGAGUGUUGCAUAAAAUUGGUUAUGCUGAGAUUGAGAUAACAAGAUGUAGUGGUGGAAAUAUGGCAGGUGGUAAUGUUGAGUGGUAUCUGAAGUUGCUGGUGUUGUAUAUGUAAAGUGAAUUGGGAGAAAGAGAGUAGUUGUAGUGUUGCUUAGCAGUAGCCUUAAUGGAAGCCAGUAACUGCAGAUCAAGUUAGUCUAUAUUAACAACGAUCGAUUCAAAUGAUGAACCAGUGGAUCGUGGAUCUCGAGGUAGGCGUGGCUUGUCAUCAAAAGAGGUGGGAAUACAUUUGACUCUUUUGUAACCAUUGUUGUUUCUUUUACAAAAGUUUAUAUUUAACAAACCAUGCAUUGUCUGUUUAUGCAUUCCAUGCUUUAUUUAAAUUGCGUUACUAUACUUCUGUCGAUUUUGUUAAUAUUUCCAUGGUUUGGAAAGGACUUGUGAUGUUUGUUUGUCAUAUGAAUUGUUAUGGGAAAUAAGAAUUUCCA